rnacentral:rRNA from 1 species
AGAGUUCGAUCCUGGCUCAGAACGAACGCUGGCGGCGCGUCUUAAGCAUGCAAGUCGAGCGGGAACAGAUAGCUUGCUAUCUGCGAGAGCGGCGGACUGGUGAGUAACACGUGGGUGACGCACCCUUCGGACGGGGAUAGCCUGUAGAAAUACAGGAUAAUACCGGAUACGAAUCCACAGGUUAGAGAUGUGGAUGGAAAGCCCCUACGGGGGCGCCGGAGGAGCGGCCCGCGGCCCAUCAGCUGGUAGGUGAGGUAAAGGCCCACCUAGGCAAUGACGGGUAUCCGGCCUCAGAGGGUGGACGGACACAUUGGGACUGAGAUACGGCCCAGACUCCUACGGGAGGCAGCAGCUAAGAAUAUUCCGCAAUGGGGGGAACCCUGACGGAGCGACGCCGCGUGGGCGAGGAAGGCCGGAAGGUUGUAAAGCCCUUUUGCGCGCGAGGAAUAAGGGGAGGAGGGAAUGCCUUCCCGGUGACUGUAGCGCGCGAAUAAGCGCCGGCUAAUUACGUGCCAGCAGCCGCGGUAACACGUAAGGCGCGAGCGUUGUUCGGAAUCAUUGGGCGUAAAGGGCGUGUAGGCGGCCCUGCAAGCCUGGCGUGAAAUCCCGGGGCCCAACCCCGGAACCGCGCUGGGAACUGCUGGGCUUGAGCCGCUGUGGCGCAGCCGGAAUUCCAGGUGUAGGGGUGAAAUCUGUAGAUAUCUGGAAGAACACCGAUGGCGAAGGCAGGCUGCGAGCGGACGGCUGACGCUGAGGCGCGAAGGCGCGGGGAGCGAACAGGAUUAGAUACCCUGGUAGUCCGCGCAGUAAACGAUGCACACUGGGUGUCCGGGCAUGAGCCCGGGUGCCGAAGCGAACGCGUUAAGUGUGCCGCCUGGGGAGUAUGCCCGCAAGGGUGAAACUCAAAGGAAUUGACGGGGGCCCGCACAAGCGGUGGAGCAUGUGGUUUAAUUCGAUGGUACGCGAGGAACCUUACCUGGGCUUGACAUACACAGGGACCGCCUGGAGACAGGCGGGCGCAGCAAUGCGCCUGUGAACAGGUGCUGCAUGGCUGUCGUCAGCUCGUGCCGUGAGGUGUUGGGUU